CAAGUCGAGCGAGAAAAGGGGAGCAAUCCCCUGAGUACAGCGGCGCACGGGUGAGUAACACGUGGGUAAUCUGCCCUGGAGUGGGGAAUAACACCGGGAAACCGGUGCUAAUACCGCAUAUGAUCACGGUGUCUGCGGACACAGGGAUGAAAGGAGCAAUUCGCUUCAGGAGGAGCCCGCGGCUGAUUAGCUAGUUGGUGAGGUAAUGGCUCACCAAGGCAACGAUCAGUAUCCGGUCUGAGAGGACGGUCGGACACACUGGAACUGAGACACGGUCCAGACUCCUACGGGAGGCAGCAGUGGGGAAUUUUUCGCAAUGGGGGCAACCCUGACGAAGCAACGCCGCGUGGGUGAUGAAGUCUCUUGGGACGUAAAACCCUUUCGACAGGGAAGAAACCGCAAGGUUGACGGUACCUGUAGAAGAAGCCCCGGCUAACUCCGUGCCAGCAGCCGCGGUAAUACGGGGGGGGCGAGCGUUGUUCGGAAUUACUGGGCGUAAAGGGCGCGUAGGCGGUUCAUUAAGUUGGAUGUGAAAACUCUGGGCUUAACCCAGAGCCUGCAUUCAAAACUGAUGGGCUGGAGUUCUGGAGGGGAUAGCGGAAUUCCUGGUGUAGCGGUGAAAUGCGUAGAUAUCAGGAGGAACACCGGUGGCGAAGGCGGCUAUCUGGACAGAAACUGACGCUGAGGCGCGAAAGCUAGGGGAGCAAACAGGAUUAGAUACCCUGGUAGUCCUAGCCCUAAACGAUGGAUACUUGGUGUAGCUGGGAUUGAAUCCAGCUGUGCCGAAGCUAACGCAUUUAAGUAUCCCCCC
rnacentral:rRNA from 1 species